GGAGGAGCUGACGUCGUUGUCAAGGCGGCGUGGCGGCGGAUUUCGUUUCUCAAUUGCGAAGAUUGCUACUAAACAUAGGCGGAGCUGCUUUUCCAUAAAGUCGGUACCUUUCUUUAUUUCUCUCGGUUUCCAAUUCGGCUGAAUUGAAGGAUUCGUUAUAGUGUUUGAUUAUUUUUCGUGAGAUGGCAUGGUUUGUUUGUUUAUUGAAUUUAUGGAGUUUGAUUGCGAAGUUUGAGAACUGCUGCGAUGCACACUUUGUGUUUGCUGAAAUGCGCGUUAGGGGUGGUCUUAUAGAUGUGGCGACGGAGAAAGCUUUUUGUUUUUGAAACUGUGCGAGUCUAAUGAAAUUAUAGCUGGGAUCGUGAUUGGCGGGUUGUGCGAAGCUAAUUGCUUCGAUGAAUUUAUGUUGUGAACGCCAAUUGAUGGAUUUUGCAAGGGAUGAACGGUGGAAGACUGAUUCCCUGGGUGAAGGGAAUAGAUCUGAUGGGUGUGGGAAUGGAUCUUAAUUGUGUAAAUGAUUCCCGAAGGAGAUCGGGGUUUGGCGAAACGGAUAUUGCAAAAAGGGAUAUUCGUUUAUAGUGUAUGGAAUUUUUCAGGAAGAAAUAGAUAGGAUAUUGUAAGAAAGGAAGUAUAAUGUUAAUACUAUGAAUUUUAUGGGAUUGGAUAUAGGUGGUUUGUAAAAUUCAUAGUAUUGGAUAUAAUAGCUAUAUAGAAUUAUGGGAUUGGAUAUAGGUGAUAUUGCAAAAAGGAAAGAGUAAUGUUGGUAAUGUUGAUACGAUGAUUUCGACGAAAAUGUGUUACAAAUGAAGCAAAUUGAAGAUUUGAAGAUAUUUGAUGAUGAUGAAAAAAUAGUUCAUUAGAAGUUGCUCCGACCUGAAGAGUUGAUGGUUGAAGUUGUCUUUGUUUUGAUGUAUUCUUGUUUUAAUUAUUUUUCUUUUGAUUAGUUGCUAUUAGUUUUUGUUUUAGUAGUCAUUGUAAUUAUUAGGUCAUUGUAUAUACACUUCUCGUUGAUUCAAGUAUUAAUUCAGUUAUCAA
rnacentral:lncRNA from 1 species